GAGGAAAUAGCAUAGUGGUUAUGCAAAAGAAUUUCAUGCCUGAGACUCCAAAGUCCCAGGUUCAAUUCCUGGUACCAUCA
rnacentral:tRNA from 1 species